rnacentral:rRNA from 1 species
UUUGGUGAUACAAGCGAAGUGGUCACACCUGUUCCCAUCUCGAACACAGAAGUUAAGCACUUCAGCGGCGACAAUAUCUAGGACAUCCCUAGUGAAGAUAGCUCAUCGCCAGAU